rnacentral:snRNA from 1 species
GGCUGUGAGGGUGAUCGGGCUGUGACAUCUGUCACCCCAUUGAAGCCAGGGCUGAUCUGGCUGGCUAGGCGAGUGUCGCCUCCUCCCUUAUGCACUUAACGCUGCUGAUAGAUUCUGCAAAUUUAAGUAAAAUGAUAUAUCGCCUCCUCCCUUAUGGAUCCAUGCGCAUCCCUCCCCAAGCUGCGAUUUUGGUCAAAGAAGAGGAACUUCCCCCCAGAGGAGAAGACCGGUCUUUGGUCAAGGGUCAAGGGUAUACGAGUAGCUACACUCCCCUGCUAGAACCUCCAAACAUGCUCUCAAGAAUGCAAAAGAUCAACAACAAGCAAGACAAACUUAAAGCACAAAAUGAGAGACCUUUCUCUGCCAAAUGCCUUUCUCA